rnacentral:lncRNA from 1 species
UACAUAUGCCUGCAGCCACUUCCAGCUCCAGUCUUCCUAGAGUUCUACGGACUCUAAUUAUAUGGCAUGUUUUGCAUAUUUCUGAAACUUCAUAUGGGAAACAAACUUUUGGAAAUUGAUUCAUUUAAGAAUCUGUGGCCAGGCGUGGUGGCUCACGACUGUAAUCCCAGCACUUUGGGAGGCUGAGGCGGGUGCAUUGCCUGAGGUCAGGAGUUCAAGACCAGCCUGACCAACAUGGUGAAACCCUGUCUCCGCUAAAAAUACAAAAAAUAGCCGGGCAUGGUGGCGCACACCUGUAAUCCCAGCUACUCCAGAGGCUGAGGCAGGAGAAUUGCUUGAGACCAGGAAGCGGAGGUUGCAGUGAGCACUGCACUCCAGCCUGGGCAGCAAAAGCGGAACUCUCUCUCAAAGAAGAAAAGAAUAUGUAUGGGAUCUUGUUAUUGAAGAGAAGUCCGAAAUAAAUUAUUCAUGGUGUGAAUCCUUUGUAAUAUGAGUGCCUUGUCCACUUGCCACUGAUCGACUAGUACUGGAUUUUCCUCCAGUGAGGUCCAUGUGAAUCUCCCAGCACACCUGGCAGGGGUGCUCAAGGAGAAGGGUGAUUCUCACAAAGUGGCCGUUUUGGUUUCCCGAUAACGGAUCUGGUGACUUGCACCCAGCGCAGACCUAUGGAUGGCAGAGAUGAUGGUCUGAUGUCUUAAGGCAGAGUCCUGGGGUCCCCGUGCUAUCCCUUGGAUAAGGAUAUUUGCUUCUCUGAACCUCCCAGAAUUCCAGGUCCAGGUCAACUCUCCACCUUCCCACCCACUCUGUGCCUGGAAGGGUGACUCCUCUGGCCACCUCUGGCUUCUUGCUUGGUGUGAUCAAAGGAGACUGGAGGAUGCAAGGAGAGUGAAGCGGUAUUUAUUUCUGGUUCUGGGUUUCUGCAACUUCUCUCUGCCCUUUCCCCUUGCGCCCAGCCAGUGUUUAAAUCCACCACUAUCCCUGUGGUCUUCCAAUACCCUGACCUCACCUUUGUGGAUAAGGGACUGUUUACUCAAUCCAGGCUUCAGGCUGUUUCCUACAGCUACCCAUCUAAAAGCCUAAGAAAUAAAACAAAAUAAAAGUAGUUACACUGAUGUAUUUCUCCUUGGUUAAACCCCCUUCUUAGCUCUCAAAAUUAAUCUAUUCUGGAUAUGGCAUUCUCAUUCUUCUGCUUGUUUGUAUGCUCUUAGCUCAUUAUAUAUGGCAGCUGCUGUCAAGAGCUCCACCCACAUUUCCUCACCUUUUUCAUUUUAGUGCAUUAGGGAUCAACUAGUAAUUUAUUUUUGUUUUUGUUGUUUUGCCUGAGGGCUUUCUCUGGCCACCAGAGGUUACUUGGCCACCACUGUGUGAGACUAGAAGUGCUAGGGGUUAAUUCCUCCUCCUCUGCAGCUUUCAGAAAAAGGUGGACCGGAGUUGGUGUAUAAAUACCCCAGGUCUCUCCCCACUCUGAUGAGCUAUCACAGGACAUAGAAUUUCCCUGCAGGAUUAAGUGCCAACGACUAGCUGGCUAAGUAGCACACUUCUUAUUGGCUGCUUUCCCUUCCCUGUCGCUUCUCCUCUCCCCUACAGUUGUUUUCUGGGAUCACCUCCCAAAUAAACGAUCUGUACUUAAGUCCUAACUUCACACUCCUUUUCGUGAAAGCUUUGAUAAUAUGUACACAUCUCUAGGCAAAUACAGUAUUUUUAUUUCCUUUAGGCUUUAUGAAAUGAUCACACUGUCUGAUAUCUUAUGUCACUUGCACCUGCUCUACAUCAUGUUUAUUAGAUUCAAUCUCAAUGAUUUCCUUUUCUGUGAGCCAUUCAUUUUCACUGCUACAUAGUAUUCCAUUGCAGGAAUUGUUAUUCUCCUUUGAUGACUCUAUAAGCAUCUCUUUUUUUCUUUGCUACUAUAAGUCAUACUGCC